AUACUACUCCCUCCGUCCAACAAAAAAUAUCUCAAGUAUGUCAAAAUUUGGAUAUAUGUAGACAUGACUUAGUGUAUAAAUAUAUUCAAAUUUAGUGAAAGUUAAAACAUCAUUUGUUGAACUGAAGGAGUAUCAU
rnacentral:pre_miRNA from 1 species